rnacentral:tRNA from 1 species
GUUAUGUAGCUUAACUAAAGCAUGGUGCUGAAGACACCAAGACGAAACUAAUACUUCCAAAACCA